UUCUCAUAGAGCCGACUGAAGACACACAGAAGAAUCGGCAAUUGUAGUUAUUUGUUCCUGACCUUUUAUUUUAAAUGCUCAAGUAAAGAUAGCUGCUCCGCCUGGCAUCAUUCAGUAGAAGGUCAUUACUGAGGCUCUCCUAAGAUCCAUAGUGGCGCAUUACUUGCAUUCAGACAGAGCGGGCUGCAGUUUCCUCCACGUGGAGUCAAUCAGACGUAUCUAUUUAACUGAAGGUUAAAUGGUUAGAAGAGCUCACCCAGACUUCACUGUCUCAUGCUGUCUAAGAAUGAAAUCUUUAAACCAGGAACCUCUGGACCUUGACCAGACGCUGCUCACUGCAAACACCCACAAGUUGUUUAUCCUCCUUUGUCCAGCCAAUGUGCCACAACAGAGGAACAGGAGGGACAUAAAAUCCACCAACAGCAUAGAAAGUAAGUCAUCAUGCUUCAUUAUUCAUCUAACUUUGUCUUCAGAUGUGUCCGCAUCAUAUCAAAAGAAACAGCUUUGUGUAUCAUGUCUUCCAACUGUGUUUGUUUGGGGUUGAAUUAGACCCAUUUCCUGUUUUCUGAAGUUUCAUCAAAGCAGGCCUUAGUUUCACUUUCUGACAUGUGCUACACAUUUAAAUGGCCGUUCACUGCAGAUUAUUGCUGUUUGUCUGAAGGUUUAUUGUUCCGUAUAUUAAGGCUUUGCAGAAAGAGAGCUGUUUAAGUAGUCAGUGAUGAGGGGCAGAGGUCCAGUCUGUCCUGCAGCUUUUAGAGUCACAAAAGUAGUUUAUGACAGUGUUAAUUUUUACUCCACUGUCAGCUGAUUUUCUGUGCACUUUGAAGAUCGUGUCAUCCAAAAGGAAUUUCUGAAUUUUCCACUUGUCAGAGAGCAAAACUCAAGAAAAACAGAUCCAGUCACUUACCGGUGUCAGUGGCUGUGGCAGGGCGGUUCUGAAAAGCUGAACGGCCAGAGCGAGUGUCUUGUGUGUGUCUCUGAAGUCCGGCUGGUUGCAGCGAAGCAGUCACCCUGCAGCUCUGCUCUGCAGGCUGAGGAAGUUCAGCCCACUGGCCUCUCACAGCAGACAAGCCCCAACUUGUCAUCUGUUCCUGGUUGCUAAGAUAAGCAGCAGCUGAAGAGGCUUAAACAGGCCACUGAGCACCACCCAGUGGAGGAAUGAUGACAUGCAGGGGAGUCUGCUUUAACAGAGAUCAUCAGCUAUCUAUCUGUUCAUGCACUGAUGAAUACAGCAGCUGUAUUAUUAUUAGAUUUAACUACUGUACAAAAUCUACCAAUAUAAUGUACAUGUUGAUAACUUUACGUAUCUAUAUGAAUUGAAGAUUUAGUGGAAUAUUUGAGCAAACCUUCACGGAAUUCUGCAGCUUGAAUUAACACAGAUAGAACUUAUAAAUCUCAUUUUUAACGGUCUGCUGCCUUGUAAGUAAAUAUGCAUCUGUUUUUCGUUUCCUAAAAGAAAAUCAUAUAAACAGUAGAUAAGGGAUAUUAUAAAGGCUAAGCUAGAAUAUAGCAUUAACAUCCGUUGAAAAGGUUUCUAGAGAAUACAGACCAUUUCCAGGCUCUGUGAAACAUGCUGAGUAAAAACAUUUGUUUAGCUUUUACAUACAUUCCCAAGAAAAGGCUACCAAGAUUUCUCCAGACAAAGCAAAAAGCAAAGGCACACUUAAAUGAUAGUCAGAAGAAUAUGUUUAAUAAAAAUAAUUAAACCUCAAUUUCCUCUAUAGAACUUCAUAGAAAGUAAUCCAAUAAAUUACAAAUGACUUUUAAGACGCGUUUUCCUGCACUACAUGAAGAAUUAUUGACUACACAGAGCACAACUUGCAAAUAUUACAACUGUUCAAUGAAAAAGAAAGAGAGAAAAAAAAGACACAAACUGACCAGGGUGACAUUUAGAAUAUUACCAAGCUUGAAAUCAAAAUACAAAAUCCAUGACGCUAGUUUUGUCGUCUCAGUGAUCACAAGUAUGAAAACUGAAAGGAAACCUCCCUGUACAGCAGUAGUGUGUUUGUCAUUCCUCUUGCAUAUUGGUCAUUGUUUACUUGUGUCUGUGUUUAACCCAGAUUCAGCACUGCUUCUUUAGCACUAGCAGUAGCUUGGGAGUCCUUGCACAGUUCAACCAAAAGAAAAAUAAUAAUUAGAAGAAAAGCAAAUGAAAGCAAAAUAAAGUCCCAUCUUAUGUCUACUUUUUUUUCCAUUUGUGUCCUAAAGAGGCUCAGCACAGUCAUCGAUUCAUCGACCCAUCGAUGUGGGGCAACAAAAAGUAGCAAAAUUCAUUAGAUCAGUCACUUACAGCAGACGUAGCAGUGGCUGGGUGUUUGCAUAAGGGCACUACAAGUUUAAAGAGAGCAGAGGUGCAGAUAUACAAAAUGACAGUGGCAUGUUUAAGUUCAUUGCUCAAGACAUAGAAAAAUACCGUACUGUUAGUAAUAAUAAUUAAAAAAACUGCAACUGCAUUGCAAGCAAACCCAUGACGAGGUCUAUAGAGAGCAGGCAUACAAGAAAACCACUUUAAAGCAACAUUAGAAAUCAGAAGUGUCUUCAGUCUUUGUGUUCAUGGUUGAACCCACGAGAGAACGAUGCUACAACUAUUUAAGAACUAAACGGUUAAUUCAGUGGGCCAAACAGAAACUUCAGCUCGGAAAUCAUUUGUAUAUCUAACAGUCCACUGUGUAACAGCAGUCCUAGAGCGAGCACUGUUGUGCUGGAGAGGAUUACAAAAAGGUACUUCGGCUCGAGUGAACCCCAGUGUUUGUGUGUAUCCUGGUUACAGCUUAAAAAUGGACAUGUGCAGGGAUGCUGAAGAAAAUACACAAGCAUGGACACUGAGCACAGAUGUGAGCGGUCGAAUGAGAGAGUGAGGAUAAGGGCACUUCUACAUCUAGCUGAAGCUCUGUCCGUCAGCAGAACAGAGUCGAGGACGACGUGAAAUAAAACAAGACAAAUGCUGCACACCCCCAGCAACGCAAGCUGCUAUAAUUGAGCCCUUCUCAAGCAAAACCCGUCCGGCACUGCGUAAAAAUGUGAUCCUCAAAGACGACGACGACGGCUACUACAAUCUUAAACCAGGAUUUGAAACUAUUUUGUGCUUGUGCCACACAUGUUCUGCAUGAACACAGGUUAUCAUGCAACACAUAAUCUCACAGGACUUUAAAGUCUGUCCAAAUUUCUAAUGAGACACAUUUGAAGCAAGAACCCCCUCCCUCCCCCUCCCGCCAAGACAUAACAUUCAGACUGGAAAGUUAUGGAAGCAGUAGAUACCAGGUGUGAGGAGCAGCCCAGCCGAGCAAAACACAGUGGAAGCUCUCAGUAAAAAACAAAAAAACAACUAAACAAAAAGGCCACCGAGACACAUUCCAGCAGAGACGAGGGCAUCAUGUACGUGGACAGCAGAAUAACGCACCCAUGCACAUGUACAUUUGCACAGUGAAGCCAAUCAGUUUAGCAAAGUUGAGGUAAGAUGCAGUCAAAUACGCCGGGGCUGUAGUAAUAAUACCCAUCAUCAAGAAUCCUUCCACUACCAGAGACCCCACAACUCUGUCAGGACCCCAAAAAGUCAAAGGGCAGUUGUGUUUUUUUUUUCUUUUGGCACACAGUAAAAGGUUGUUUUGUGUCACCCCUGCUCAAGGAGCUUUUUAGUGGGAAUCGAGAUGUGCAAGUGAAUGAGCAUGCCUAAUGUGGGUAGCUAAAGUGCACCUUGAACAUGUUGUGGCAUGUUUGUAAGGUGAAGGUGAAAAUGAAGAGCUCCUAAAACUUAAAAAAAAAAAAAAAAAGAUUCAACAGUAGAGAAAUAAAUCACAAUCCACUUUCAAGAAUUUUAGUUUGUGUAUGAUUGGAAAAAUACUCAAUAAUACUACUCAAGAGGGAGCUUCCCAUGAUUCUUUUUCCAAACCGAACAAGAACAAAUGAAACAAAAACCUCUAAGGUGAUAUGAAGGUAGGUGACAGGUUGGUGAGGCUGUGUGAGUUGUGCACUGGGGUGGAACAUGGCAGAGAGAGAGAAUCUACAGCUUCAGUGACAUUCAUUAGCUGCCCAAGUUAUUGCUGACAUAUCCAACGUAUGAUCUGCAAAGCAUAAGUGUCAACCCACCUGUAAAAGUACUGAAUAUUUACAAGAGAAACCAAAGUGUCGAUCCCCACACCCCCGACAAUCAAAAUAUAUUAAUAGUACAGCUCAACGAGCAUGUUGAUGUAGUUUCACUUUUUUAAUAAAAUUAAUCCUGACAUAAUUACAAUAAUGCCUUUUUUGUUGCAAUUGUACAUAAUCGCGUGGUACAAUUUCACAGAGUUCAGAAAUCUACUAAAGUCUGACAUGCAAAAUGUCUCAAAACAAGACUGUACCUUGUGAACAAACAUUGACAUUUUACUUCAGUUCCUUUUAGAUCAGUUUUUCCUUUUUUUUUGUUUUUUUUGUAGAUUUUUGUAGUCUUUAUUACACAACAUCGUAGUUAGUUCUUGUAUUUACAAGUAAAGAAAUCGCAACGUAAGUGCUGGAAAAUCCAUAUAUAUGCGAAUAUAUGUUUACAUUUCUAGGUGAUACAUAAAUAAAUUUAUAAUUAUAUAUUCGUAGGAUCAGUCCUCAUCACUUGAGUCUGAAUCGUCUGAGGAUGAGGAAGAACUCCCAGAUUCUGAUGAAGAUGACUCUGCUUUCCCUGAACCUUCAGGACCACUGUUGUCUUUUUGUUCUGUGGAUUCCUCCUCCUCUUCUUCAUCCAGAGCCUCUUCUAAUGCCUCGUCCUCCUCCUCUCCAUCCUUCUCUGCCUGUGGCCGAUCCGUCUCCUGUGCCGAUGACUGGGAGGCUGAAGGCGGAGCAGCUGGAAAGGUGGGGUCACUGUUUGAGCUCUGCAGCUGUGUGGCGGACACAGGAAGGUUAAGGCCUGGAGUGAGAAGCAUCCCUGGGUAAAGCAUACUGGAGAGUAACAAGGGGUUAAGAGAAAGUGGGUGACUGGAGGCUGCAGAGGCAGCUGAAGCACUUUGUGUGGCGGUGGCAGAGGAAGCAGAGCUGGAAGUGGAGGAAGGAGUCGUGUUCGAGCCCUCUGUCCUUUCUCCUUUGGUGUCUGAGGUGUGAGAGGGGGCUUUAGAGGCAGACGGCUCUCCGGUUCCACCGCUGGUGAUUCCCUUUGUUUUCUCUUCCGAGCCUCCUGCACCUUCCUGAGCAGACUUCCCGAGCAAGCUGCUCAUGCCGAGCAGGUUUGGCAAUCCAGCCAUGCCAGACAGCAUCAUGGGAAACAUGGCAGCUAGGUUACUUGCGGCCAGGUUGCUAGCGUCGGACGGCAGCCCCAUCAGGCCUGCGGUGAGCUGCAGGGACUGUAAACUCUGGAGGUUUUGCUGGAAGGCCUGCAGACUGGUGAGGUCCAUUCCAGAGAGGAGGCCGUUGGCCAGCAGUGGGUUUAGACCCAGAGCAGAGGCUGCUUGGCUGGGUGCCGCUGCUGCUGCUGCCUUGGCCAGAGGAUUCUUAGGUCGACGUCCUCGCCGGCUCACCUCCUCAGGAACGAUGGGCCCCGUCAGGAUCCUGUCAAACAUGCUCUCUGGGAGGUAACCCUGGAAAAAACAUGGAACAAAUGCAGGGUUGGCAGAGUACAGCACAGGCAAGCUUUAGUUUUAUUACACAUGACCAGCGUGUUUAAUAACAGUACAGUAAAUAUAAGCACUGCUAGUUUAAGUACACUGAGCUAAAUCUAAUGUAAUCUAAUACAACAGACAGAAUGGCGGUUACAGUGUUCAAUAUUUGUUGAAAUUCACUUAUUUAGUCUUAACAUCACUGGUAUAAAUGGCGUGGACAAAAUGUUAGAAACUCCUUUUAGCAUAACAAUAUAUGUCAGAAGUACCACAAACUACAGCUUCCAAAAUGAUCAGAGUUGAAUGAACACUGAAACAGCCUGUAACCUUUAUUAAAGUACAUUUUAUUGCUGUUGUAUUAGACAGCAUUAGUUUUAGUGAAGAGUUUCAAAUAAACUAGGAACUGACUUGUCAAAAUGUCUUUCUUGACGUCACAUUUUCCUCUAAUAGUCCUGUUGUGAUGGUUGUAUGUUUUUGUGACUUACCGACUGUUUAACCACAUCAGCCCAUUCAGGUGGGACUCCAUACUCUGGGUUUUCCUGAAGGAACCUGCACAGAUCCUUCAGAGGAGGAGCAAAGGCUCCACCAACCUACAGGAAAGAAUGCACACAACAUGAAACCAGCCACAAACAAAACCAGGUCCAAACACACCUUGCGUGCAUUUCUCCUGUUGAUGAUCUGGACCCUUUCCUCUCCUGUCAGGCUGUUGACAUCGAUCUUGUUGGGGUUCCUACAGCGAUGCCUUUUCUGCUUGGGCCGAC